CUGAAGCUGGCCGAAGAAAAUGUACCCGGUGACUGGAACCCCGCUCCUGCCCAGGUUGUGGACAGCUUUAACGUGACCACGAUCAGAGAUCCGAUACGGAAGGUGCUAGUUUCCUUGAAGCAUAAGAGCGUGUACCUGCUCAUGGACGUAGCAGUUCAUCAGUACCCCAUGGAAUCCUGCAGAAACAGUCACCAGAACUGCGCGUCUUGCGUACUGGACCCCUUCUGUGGUUGGGACGGCACACAAUGCAUUCCUCUUGCAAACGGGGCGGCAGAUGCUUUGCGAAAGUGUGGAGGGCCGACGUCGGUGUAGUCUACGAUAGUCGAUGCUUGUUACUGCGGUUAUUCUUACACAGCAAGGCAGUAAUAAACAGGAUCACCUUAGAAGAAUACAGGAAGGAGGACAAGAUAAAGUACGCUGCCUUCCAAGGGUCAUAAUACUAAAAAAAAAACCUAGUGUCUUUCUUGUUCCUUCAUUCUUUAUGUACCUGUAAAGCACUUUUUUUUAAUCUCCAAGCCCUGGAAAUGCCUGAGAUGCUGAAGGUCUAACAAACCCAG